rnacentral:rRNA from 1 species
UUGCCAGACUCCUACGGGAGGCAGCAGUGGGGAUAUUGCACAAUGGGGGAAACCCUGAUGCAGCGACGCCGCGUGGGUGAAGAAGCGCCUCGGCGCGUAAAGCCCUGUCAGCAGGGAAGAAAAUGACGGUACCUGAAGAAGAAGCCCCGGCUAACUACGUGCCAGCAGCCGCGGUAAUACGUAGGGGGCAAGCGUUAUCCGGAUUUACUGGGUGUAAAGGGGGCGCAGACGGCGAUGCAAGCCAGGAGUGAAAGCCCGGGGCCCAACCCCGGGACUGCUCUUGGAACUGCGUGGCUGGAGUGCAGGAGGGGCAGGCGGAAUUCCUGGUGUAGCGGUGAAAUGCGUAGAUAUCAGGAGGAACACCGGUGGCGAAGGCGGCCUGCUGGACUGCAACUGACGUUGAGGCCCGAAAGCGUGGGGAGCAAACAGGAUUAGAUACCCGCGUA